rnacentral:rRNA from 1 species
UACGAAGGGGGCUAGCGUUGCUCGGAAUCACUGGGCGUAAAGGGUGCGUAGGCGGGGCUUUAAGUCAGGGGUGAAAUCCUGGAGCUCAACUCCAGAACUGCCUUUGAUACUGAAGAUCUUGAGUUCGGGAGAGGUGAGUGGAACUGCGAGUGUAGAGGUGAAAUUCGUAGAUAUUCGCAAGAACACCCGUGGCGAAGGCGGCUCUCUGGUACGUGACUGACGCUGAGACGCGAAAGCGUGGGGAGCGAACAGG